UCGGAUUGAAGGCUGAAAUUCGCCUUCAUGAAGCCGGAAUUGCUAGUAAUGGCAGGUCAGCAUACUGCCGUGAAUACGUUCCCGGGCCUUGUACACACCGCCCGUCACACCAUGAGAGUUGGGAAUACCCGAAGCCUGUGAGCUAACGUAAGAGGCAGCAGUCGAAGGUAGAAUCAAUGAUUGGGGUGAAGUCGUAACAAGGUAUC
rnacentral:rRNA from 1 species